rnacentral:lncRNA from 1 species
GGGGUUCAAUCGGAGAAAAGGAAAUGUUGAGGCAUUAUCUGGAGAUGGGGUUCAAAUGGAGAAAGGGAGAUAUUGCGACAUUUUCCGGAGAACGGGGUUCACAUUGGCGAUCGUGAGUUAUCGUCAGGCGACUGGGGUUCAAACCGGAGAAUGGGGUUCAUUAUUUGGCAAACAGGAGAGUGGGGUUCAAAUGCAGUGAUCUGAGGAUCAUUUGCGCAAAAGAAAAUUUCGGGGUUCAAGAAAAUGAAAAAAAGAAGAGAAAAAUUUCGGGGUUCAAGAAAAAAAAGAAAAAGAAUAACAAUCCCGAGCGGAUGUGGUAUUCAGACCGUGGUUAUCCCUGCG